UGGAAUAGAGAAGGGAAGCUCCUCCUCUCCUUACCGGAGUUGCGUCUUUCUGGACAUUGACCGAAAAUGCGAAUUUGACACCUUUGGACGUGUUAGACAUUUCGAGAAGUGUCACAGCACGGGAGAUAGCGGGGGGCUCCGGGAGCACGAGUUUCUCUUGUUUUGCGCGGAAGGAAACAGAUUUGGCCCAAACCGACAGGCUGGGAUGCCGCCCUUCCCUUUACCUGCCGCACCCCUCCCUGCGCCUCUUCUCUUGACCCGCACCCCUCCGCCCUGGUUCUGUGCCUUGGCCUCGGAUACCCCUGCGGUCCCACUAUUUUUAUCUGGUGGCGUAAGACUUGAAACAAUGCACUGCGGACGCCGGGGUCGGGAGAGCGGACCCCACCUCUGGCCCUGAGUGAGGGUGUGGCCUGCGGUGGUUGCCUCAUCUCUGGGGACGCCGAGAUUGCAACCCGAGCUCGGCACAGGUGUGCCGCGGGGAAGCGUGACUGGCGAUCUCGAGGAAGCGUGACUCGUUAUCUCGGGAAGGGCCGCGCUGCUGUCGCGCUGCGCUCCGCGGCGCCUUGAUAAGAUCCACUCUGUACUCCUGGUGACCCUCCUCUCUGCCCUGGCACUUUGACCUUUGUCAACUACAUCAGCAGACUCUCUGACUUCCAUCUGGACUUAGCCAACAGAACUUUCCAGCAGGAGAUUGAAAGGAAAUAAUACCACUUCCUAAUAUCACUUAAGAAGUGAUUAUCUAGUUCACUUGAGAGUUAUAUCCUUUUGGUAGAACAGGAUGACUCUGAGCUACAAAGGACAAUGACUCUAACUCUUCAGGUCAUCCGGCUUGGAGGCCUGUGUUCACUGAGGCUGAUUGAACACGGCACAGUUACUCUCUAAGGUUCCAGACCUACGUCCAUGCUACCCUCGUCAAGAUUCAGUACCCCACAAAGCCUCAUGGAAAAUGAACCAUUGGCUCUACCUAUCUCGUCUACGUUGGCAGAAAUAAAUUACAUGACAUCUUGGAUUCUGUAAGAGCCCCGUUCUACUGGCUCCAAGUCCAAGGACUUAUCCUUGACUAUACAGUUGUUUCAGAUAAACUCCACAUACAUAAACAACUUUCAAAAGAUGUGAUCUAGAUGCCUGAAAUGCCAGAUUUGUGAUUUAGUUACUUGGCCCAGUCGGUAAGCUGCAAGUUCAGAAAACAAAACAAACAAACAAAAAUCUAAAUGAAACAACACAUUUCUGAAUCAUAUUGCCUACCUUGUGUCAGAGUCCUCAUAUGCAUGGAAUCAGACGGAAAACAGAAAUAGAUCUAUGUGUUAUCUGAACUGAACUGAAAUGUUUGCCUUUUUGCUCCUUGUGAAGCAUUCGCUGAAAGAAACACCCAUCAUGUUUGAUAUAUGGAUUCAGAGCUGAGAAACCACCGUGGUGUGUAGGGUCCCCUGUGCAUUGGUUCUAUCUGCUUCAAGCUUCGGGCUUGAAUGACGCCAAGGGAAUCAUUACUGUGGAUGCUACCUUUGGGCGAGGAUUCAGGGAAACAGAGAGAGAUGGAGAAAGACUAAAAUGAUACAAUAAAUGGUCCAUUCCAUGGACAUCAUUGAGUGUUAUGGACCAGGCAUGGCUUUAGGGUCUAUGUAUUGACCGUGGUUUGAACCUCAUUCCUCCUCAGUGACCCUCUUCCAAUCAUCUUCCAAAGACACUGGACAUUAUUUCCUUCCUGGACUGGUUAAAAG